GCUGGGUAUGGUGGCCCAUGCCUGUAAUCCCAGCACCCUGGUAGGCUGAGGCAGGAGGAUUGUGAGUUUAAAGCCAGCCUCAGCAACUUAGUGAGGCCCUAAGCAAUGUAGUGAGACCCUGUCUCAA
rnacentral:sRNA from 1 species